UUCCACACUGUGGAAGCUUUGUUCUUUCACUCUUCACAAUAAAUCUUGCUGCUGCUUGCUCUGUGGGUCUGGCUGCCUUUGUGAGCUGUAACACUCACCGCGAAGGUCUGCAGCUUCACUCCUGAAGCCAGCGAGACCACGAAACUACCAGAAGGAAGAAACUCCGGACACACCUGAACAUGUGAAGGAACGAACAACUCCAGACGUCAUCUUUAAGAGCUGUAACACUCACCACGAAGGUCUGUGGCUUCAUUCUUGAAGUCAGCAAGACCAAGAACCCACCAAUUCCGGACACAAUUGGAAGGUUCUAAACUGCAUUCUUUAAAAGAAACAGUGUUGUCACUUUGCUGAUAACCUUGGACAUUCAAGUGCUGAACUGAAGCUACUUUCAUAGACACUUAGCUACCACUAAUUCCUGGGUCAUAUAUUACUGAUAACAUUGAUGAGGUUUAUGGCUACAUCUGGUAGAUUUGCCACACAUUUUGUAGUGCCUUUGCUGUGCACUCAGCAUGUAACAAAGACCUACAUCUAAAACUUAGCACUGGCUCAUGCCUGUAAUCCCAGCACUUUGAGAGGCCAAGGCAGGAGGAUUGCUUGAGUCCAGGAGUUCAAGACCAGUCUGGGCAGCAUAGCCAGAAUUUGUCUUUACAAGUAACAAAGAAAUUACCAGGCAUGGUGACACACACCUGUGCUCCCAGCUACUCAGAAGACUGAGGUGCUGCAUUGAAGUAGAAAAGCAGUGCUCUAGGAGUGUGCCUGUCUGACAAGCGUGGAUGUGACUCCAGUCCUAACAAGAAUACAACGGGAACCAGAUUGCAGAAAAGAAAGACAAGUCAUCAAAACCAAGGCUGGAGAAAAACUUAAAAUGCUCUUGGAGAAUUGGCUUUCAGGACAGAGGAAAUUAGAUUUAUUUGGCAAAACCUAGCCAAGGCAGGAGCCAAAGUCAGAUGGAUUAGGGCAAUCAAAGCCAAAGACAGACAGUACUGAUAGGAAUUUAAUCAGGAGAAAGAGUCCAAGUGUACGUAAGGCUGGAUCUAGAGACUAAAUCAUGACCUUUUUAAAAGCAGAGAAUCUGUCCCAAUCUCCUCCUUAAUAC